rnacentral:rRNA from 1 species
ACGGCUCAGUAACACGUAGUCAACAUGCCCAGGGGACGUGGAUAACCUCGGGAAACUGAGGAUAAACCGCGAUAAGUCACUACUUCUGGAAUGGGUAAUGACUCAAAUCUACAUGGCCCCUGGAUUGGACUGCGGCCGAUCAGGCUGUUGGUGAGGUAAUGGCCCACCAAACCUAUAACCGGUACGGGCUCUGAGAGGAGAAGCCCGGAGAUGGGCACUGAGACAAGGGCCCAGGCCCUAUGGGGCGCAGCAGGCGCGAAACCUCUGCAAUAGGCGAAAGCCUGACAGGGUUACUCUGAGUGAUUUCCGUUAAGGAGAUCUUUUGGCACCUCUAAAAAUGGUGCAGAAUAAGGGGUGGGCAAGUCUGGUGUCAGCCGCCGCGGUAAUACCAGCACCCCGAGUGGUCGGGACGUUUAUUGGGCCUAAAGCAUCCGUAGCCGGUUCUACAAGUCUUCCGUUAAAUCCACCUGCUUAACAGAUGGGCUGCGGAAGAUACUAUAGAGCUAGGAGGCGGGAGAGGCAAGCGGUACUCGAUGGGUAGGGGUAAAAUCCUUUGAUCCAUUGAAGACCACCAGUGGCGAAGGCGGCUUGCCAGAACGCGCUCGACGGUGUGGGAUGAAAGCUGGGGGAGCAAACCGGAUUAGAUACCCGGGUAGUCCCAGCUGUAAACGAUGCAGACUCGGUGAUGAGUUGGCUUUAUGCCAACUCAGUGCCGCAGGGAAGCCGUUAAGUUUGCCGCCUGGGGAGUACGGUCGCAAGACUGAAACUUAAAGGAAUUGGCGGGGGAGCAC